ACAUUCAUCGAGCUCCGAACGUUCCGCAUUCCUAUUUUUCUACACGUACACGACCAUUUUGCUUAAUUUAAAAACCCAAUUAUGUCGGAAUUACCAGUUUUUUAAAGUGGCCAAAUUUAAUUUACUGUUUUACAAACUGACCAAAUAACCCCCAAAAUUGAUAAUUUAAAAGACACGUCGCUGGGAGUUUCUCUCUCUCUCCCAAAAUCCAAAAGAUAUGUCCUUCUAUCUUCCCGCUUUUAGACACCUCCCAAAAUCCAAAAGACGCAUCCUUCUAUCUUCCCACUUUUCUCCCUUCUUCAAAUGGUUGGAAAAAGAGAGGAAUACAGAAUCUGACCCCUACUUCUCCCUCUCCGCCCUGAGCGAGAUAACCUUUCAACACACAACCCCUGAGAUACAGAAUCAUUAGCGGAAGAGGGUACAGACCUAAGAUACCAUUACAAGCGGGGAUGGAACUGGAAAUGUCGUCGACGAUGUUGGAGUUGCAGAGAUUUAAGCCAUACCAAACUCCAUUGGGAACGAAGGCGUUCUAAUAGGAGACCUUAGAGGAUGGUCCCUACACAUGCACAGUCUCGGGCUUGCAACCAUCAUAGAAAUAACCACAGAAAGGAUUUGGUCUUUGAAAAAUUUGCAACUUGGAAAGAGAGAAAGUGAGAGAGCAUAAGGCGGAAUCGGCAUAAGGCCACCUAUCUCGAAUCAACUCUCAAUCUCCUUCUCUCACUUUCCCAUCUUCUCAAGCGUGCAUCUGUGAAAAUAGCCAACCCGGCCUCGCUUCUCUUCGUCCUAUUCUUCUUCGCUGUCUCAAAUGCGACAUCCAUCACCACUCCACAACCUCAAGAGUCGAAAUCCUUCAAGAUCCAAAACACCCAAACCCAGAGUCUGACCGGGAGGAGCAGCUGUUCAUACACAGUGACCACAAAAAAGAGUUGAUUAUAAGUAAGAUUCCGAGACAGAAUCAGCCUCUCUUUCGGCGAUGCUUACGACAACGAGGUUUAUGCGCCGAGGAUGGACGACCCAUAUUCUCAGACUUUCGAGAGAUGCUUGAUGGAUACGUUUCAGAUAAGAGGCCCCUGUACUUACAAGAUCUGUUAUCUCGGAAAAGCUGCUCUCUCACAUUUUUUUUUUUUUAUGAUUUUUUUUUUAUUGAGGUAUAUGCGUAUAUGACAGAAUGGUUUUUUAUUAUUUUUUUUUAAUUUAUUUAUUGCCCAUUAAGGCUUCAUGUGAAAAGAAAAGAGAGUGGUAUACACAAUCCCGGCUUGUAAUGGUAUGGUUGUUUGGAAAUGUUUGAGAAGAAUCGCCAAUUUUUUUAAUGAAGUAAAGUAGCGUGCCAUGUAUGGUUA